rnacentral:rRNA from 1 species
GUCUUCCACGACUUUCGUGCCGUAGCUAACGCAUUAAGCGCCCCGCCUGGGGAGUACGGCCGCAAGGCUAAAACUCAAAGGAAUUGACGGGGGCCCGCACAAGCGGCGGAGCAUGUGGAUUAAUUCGAUGCAACGCGAAGAACCUUACCUGGGCUUGACAUAUGCAAGAUCGGCGUAGAGAUACGUUUUCCCUUGUGGUUUGUAUACAGGUGGUGCAUGGUUGUCGUCAGCUCGUGUCGUGAGAUGUUGGGUUAAGUCCCGCAACGAGCGCAACCCUUGUCUUAUGUUGCCAGCACGUGAUGGUGGGGACUCAUGAGAGACUGCCGGGGUUAACUCGGAGGAAGGUGGGGAUGACGUCAAAUCAUCAUGCCCCUUAUGUCCAGGGCUUCACACAUGCUACAAUGGUCGGUACAACGCGCUGCGAGCCUGUGAGGGUGAGCGAAUCGCUGAAAGCCGGCCUCAGUUCGGAUUGGGGUCUGCAACUCGACCCCAUGAAGUCGGAGUCGCUAGUAAUCGCAGAUCAG